UACACUUAAUUUAAAUUAAUAAACUCAAUUCAAAUAAAAUAUAUAAAAAUUAUUAUAAAAUUAUAUAUAUUAAUAAAAUAUUUAUAUAAAAAAAAAUAAAUUUUUUAAUAAUUAAAUUUUUAAAACUUUUUAAAAACUAGGAUUAGAUACCCUACUAUUAAGUAUAAAAUAAAAAAUUUAAAAAUUAAUUGAUAAAUCAAUAAAAUUUAAAAAAUUUGACGGUAUUUUACUUUAAUUAAAGGAAUUUAUUUUAUAAUAGAAAAUAAACAAUAAUAAAAACUUAAAUUUUAUAUCUAAAUAUUGCUGUUUUAAUAAAAACUUUUAAAAAAAACAUAAAAAAUUAAUUUAUUAAAAAAAUUCAAGUCAAAAUUUAAUUAAUAUUUAAGAAAAAAAGAAUUACAAAAUAUAAAAUAUAAUAUUAUUUAAUUAAUUAAAUAAUAAAAAAGAAUUUAAAAAUAAAAUUAAUAAAUUUUUUAAUUUAAAAUAAAAAUUAAAAUAUGUACAUAUCGCCCGUCACUCUCAAAAUAUGAGAUAAGUCGUAACAAAGUAAAAUUACUGGAAAGUAAUUUUAGAAAUUAAA
rnacentral:rRNA from 1 species